rnacentral:rRNA from 1 species
CCGGUGACAACCGGAGGAAGGUGGGGAUGACGUCAAGUCAUCAUGGCCCUUACGGCCUGGGCUACACACGUGCUACAAUGGUCGGUACAAAGGGUUGCCAAGCCGCGAGGUGGAGCUAAUCCCAUAAAACCGAUCGUAGUCCGGAUCGCAGUCUGCAACUCGACUGCGUGAAGUCGGAAUCGCUAGUAAUCGUGAAUCAGAAUGUCACGGUGAAUACGUUCCCGGGCCUU